AUCCCUUCGGAGACAUCCGAUAAAGUUGAAAUGAUAGAGAAGAUUAGCUCCUUUCUGCGAAAAGAUGACAUGCAUAAAUUAAAAAUAAUUUACAUUUUU